AUUGAACGCUGGCGGCAGGCCUAACACAUGCAAGUCGAACGAGUGGCGGACGGGUGAGUAAUGUCUGGGAAACUGCCUGAUAGAGGGGGAUAACUACUGGAAACGGUAGCUAAUACCGCAUACCAUCGGAUGUGCCCAUAUGGGAUUAGCUAGUAGGUGGGGUAAAGGCUCACCUAGGCGACUAUCCCUAGCUGGUCUGCGAGGAUGACCAGCCUGACUGUAACGGAGACACGGUCCAGACUCCUACGGGAGGUAGCAGUGGGGAAUAUUGCACAAUGGGCGCAAGCCUGAUACAGCCAUGCCGCGUGUAUGAAGAAGGCCUUCGGGUUGUAAAGUACUUUCAGCGGGGAGGCGUUACCCGCAGAAGAAGCACCGGCUAACUCCGUGCCAGCAGCCGCGGUAAUUC
rnacentral:rRNA from 1 species